CACAGUUUUUAUAACCAGAGAAAAAAAAAUCUCAUCUUUUUCGUGUCUUCUCGUUUUCUCCAAUCUCAACUUUUUUUGCUUUCGAGAUGAUGGUUCAAUUGAUUUCACAAUCCGAUUGCACAAAUUACUUCAAAUAGAUCCGAGGAAUUCAAAUUACAUUACUUCCUUCGACUGUUCCAUAAUUCUACAGUUUCAAUUGUUCACUUGAUGAGAGCCAAAAUUGUAGCUAUGAAUUAAAGAUUGCAUCACGACGUACGCCAUAUCUCUAGAUCCUACCAAUACUUCGAAUAGAUCCGAGAUUGCAGAAACUAAUGCUAUAGAGGUGUUUAAUAUCAGGAGUUUAUGCAUCAUUUUUUCAUUACUCUUAAAAAGCUUCAUAGAUCAUUAUCAAAAUUGCUGCUGGGAAUGGAGUUGGGCAAAUUUUAGUUGGAAAGGAAGACAUUUUGUCAACCCCAGCAGUUACCCAUGUAAUCAGGAAAAGAAAGGCAAGCUUCUUUGUGUGAAAAACCGUGUUCUAAGUGUUACCACCAUUUGUGUUACCACCAGAGUGAAAUGCACAAAAAUUCCGGAUUAUUCUUUUAUAUCAUCACACAUGGACCAUUCAAAUGUGAGACCACCAGAAAAGCCUAAUCUGAAACAGCCCGAGGAUGAGAACGGAUCCGAUCCGAAUUGUGGCCCAUAUCGAGAAAUGGUCCAGCGAUGAAACUACGUCAUUAGGUCAAGCGGGGGUAUUCUCGGAAAUUGACAGGGGACGGAACAAUUCAAGCUGACUCAAAAAAAAUUACACUCGAGUUCGUCUAAGCUUUUUAGAUCGUCUAAAGCUUUUCAGUUCGUAUUAUUUUAUCUUUUGUUCGGAUUCGACCUUAAUUAGCUAUUUGGACGAGAUAACUCUUUGCGACUAAACUAUUUUGCUUAAGUUCGGGCUCAUCGAUAACAAGAGUGAUUAUUCUUUACUU